CCUAUCAAAUUGACAAAUAACAAAAAAAAUUCUUUUUAUUUUGCGAUCUCUCUUUUCGUUUUCUUCCUCAAAUCAAUUUUUCCCUUUAAUAUUCAUCUUCUCAACUUCUUCCCUGUAAAUCCUCCGUAGCUGUUUCUCCCACAUUUACUUCCAUUAGUUAAUUUACCAAGCGUUAUGACACUUUUAGCUUUUCCGAUUAUUAAUGAUUGAUUUAUAUAUAAAAUUGAACAAUGACCAAAUUAGAUUCUCACUUUCUCUCACUAUUAGAUUUCUAGAUUAUGAUCUUAUUGGUUUCAAACCCCAAAAUCAAUGCGUGGAGGGAUUCAGAUUUGAUAUCCUCAUGUAAUUUUAAGUAAGUUCUCUCAUAUUGUAUCUUUUCGCAUGAACAUUGUAAUUGAGUUGUUUGUGUGUAUGUCUUUUUUGUAGAUUGUGGAUCACUGGAUCAACAUGGGUUUGCAAGGGAAAAAAUCUGGGUAAUCGAUGACAAUUUACCUCCAUGAGUUCAUAAAAUCAUCAUUAGUUGAUCUUCAUCUCAAACCAUCAGAAGAGGACUUAAAGCAAUGGUUUGACAGGUAAAAGUAAAACCAUCAUCAUCCUUUUAUGUUCUUUAUCUUUAUAGAUUCUGAAUUUUAUGUGUGUGUUUCUUUUUUGAGUUCUGGGUUUCACUUGCUAUAGAUGGCCACUCAACAUUGAUUUCUUUAGAAACAUCAAUGGCAAACCCUUCAGAUUCUUAUUUGCAUAUCAUACUUACCUCGCUGUCUCAGAUAUAAGGGUUAGAAACAUUUGAGCACUUGGAGAACCUCAGCAAAAAGGAGCUUUUAACAGAACAAGGCGACAUCAAUAACCUUUAAAUCUGAGAUGGACCGGACUUACCUUGGAGAUAUCCCAAAAUGGUAGCAGUUCUUGAUAAUGAACGGAAAAGAACACAUGUUAUUGGAAAAGAAUGACUUCUAAACACGUUGUAUGUAAACCAUGGGAAGGUGAAUUUAGGGGACGAUGAGUACAAAAACAUACUUUGUGUGGAUGGUUAUUACUUUGAAGCCAUGAGAAGAAUGGACCAGCCAGCUUAUAUUAAUCGCUGUUAAGAUCAGUCUCUGCUUUGAUCAACUUGAACAACAGAGCAAAGGAUUCUGAUUCUGUCUGUUUUGGAAUCCCAUCCUAAAAAAAAUCAUCCACUACAGAGAUCAUGCAGAGGAAUAAGCUUGAUAAUUUAUUUCACUAAAAUCUUAUUGCAGGUGCUGGCUUUUUCUUACCAGUCUUACAAGAAAGGCCCAGUUCCAAGAAGCUGAGCUGGAAAAACAGCCAAGCAGCUCAAAGAGGCGUUUACAAUCUCUAGCGAAGAAACGAACAGAUGUGCGGCAACAAAAAAAAAGGUUAUCAUAUCUCUUACCGCAUAAGUAAUUUCAAAGCUCAAAAUUAGUAAUAUGCUUUAUGCGAGUACGAGUGAUUUCUUAUGACUCCGUUAUCAGCAUCACUGAAAUUAUGCAGGUGAAAUACAUGGCUGAAAUAUUACCUGUUCGAUCAGCUCGAACUGUGAAGUCUCCUCGGUCCCUUGAUUCAUUUGGUUCAGUCCAGGCCGCGUUGACCUUUAUAAUCUUAAACCAACCAAAUGGGAACGCGAGCAAAAUGGUGUAAAUACCAUAAUGUUUUCUAAUUGGACCAUUACACAUGUACUUGGAAAUGGAGAAGCAUCGACUGAAGCACAUAACAAGAAUGAAUGGGUUGAGAAAGAUGCGCCUGACGUCUACAUCAUUCUUACAGCCUUAGCCAGUGGUGUUACCGACCUCAAACGUGUCUGUUUCAGCCGAAUAGUGAGAAACAAACGUAAUAGUGGUGGUCAGAUAACAGAAGAAGAGUCUACGAACAAUACAAUAUACGAAUGGUCGACAAAACCAGUACGGAAAUGCCUCACUGAGACUCUUUUACCCCAACCAUUUCUGUGAUUUUCCCAAGCCCGAGGCAUCUGAGUGCAAAUCUUGGGAUAUAACAUAUCUUCUAUAUAUAAAGAUAAAAAAUUUAAAGUUUUGAAAGUGUUUUACGUCUUCUUUCAUUGUAGUUUGGGGGCUCUGUGGUGUUUAUUGUGAGAAGGUAGUAAAUUCUACAUGUAAAAAAUCUGUCCUCACGUCCUCACAAUGGGUUUCGAUCAGAUUUGUAGAUUCAUUGCAACAUUUGGGAAGUAAAGAACUACUACAGAUUAUUACAACCAUUUCUUUCACGGUACUCAUGAUGACUUGAGGAAAAAUGUUUCAGAAGGUUAGUUUUGAUGAGCUGAGUUUUUUUGUUAGUUUAGAGGAUAUAUUAGAUUUUCGGUGAGGGUUUAUAAGCUUUCUGCUUUUAAAUGGUCUAAGGAAUAGUGUGAACCUUGAUCAACCUUCUGAUUUAUAACGUGAGACCGCCAAAGAUUAUAAAAGAAAACUGUUAACUAUGAUCGAUGCGGCGAAAAGACAUUACAGUGGUAGAUCUCCUGGAUAAUUUCCCUGAGACACUCGCAAAAGCGAGAGUCUUUGAGAUUAAGUUAUACGACCAGUAUGAAUGAUCUCCAGAACAUGAUAAAGUAUGGCAACCAGAAGUUGAAUGCUGCAUACUAUGAAGACCAAGAAAAUUCCCAAGAAUGUCAUGUGUAUCUCUGUUCUCGGUCAGUAUGAAGAGACUUCAUGCAAUGUUCUUAUAUAUUUGCAUCAGGUAAUUUUCUGUUGAUUAAUUUAUCUGCAGGUGAAUGCAAGUGGGCAGUUUGUUGGUCUUGCAAAGGUGAUAUAUAUGUUCGUUUGAUUUCAACAAGAGUAUUGGCAAUAAGAUAAAUGGAUUGGUUGUUACCGUGUGAUUGCCAAUCUUAUAACUAGAACAAACCCAUCACUAAAAGUAUAUCAAUAUACCAAAAUUGGGUUAUGGUUUUAGUAUUGUUUUAUGAAAUCAAAGCAAUCUGAUUACUCAAUUAAAAACAGAAAAUUAUUUCAAACCACCAUCCCGUUUUAUUUAAAUGUAUAUUGUAGAUCAAGUUGUUAAGUAAUCUCUAUGGGACAAUUAAAUAUCGCAGUCCAAAGAAUAUGUAGUCGGAAAAUAAAGU